rnacentral:rRNA from 1 species
UACGAAGGGGGCUAGCGUUGUUCGGAAUUACUGGGCGUAAAGGGCGCGUAGGCGGUUUGUCAAGUCAGGCGUGAAAGCCCCGGGCUCAACCUGGGAACUGCGCUUGAGACUGGCAGGCUCGAGUUCGGGAGAGGAUGGUGGAAUUCCCAGUGUAGAGGUGAAAUUCGUAGAUAUCUGGAGGAACACCGGUGGCGAAGGCGACAUCCUGGACCGGUAUUGACGCUGAGGCGCGAAGGCGUGGGGAGCGAACGGG